AAUAAGUGUAGUUUUGAACUGUUCAUGUCUAAUGUUUGACCGUUCGUCUUAUUUAAAUUUUUUUUAGAUUAAUAUUUUUAUUGUUACUAGAUGAUAAAACAUGAAUAAUACUUUAUGUGUGACUAACUUUUAAAAUUUUUUUUAUAAAUGUUUUAAAUAAGACGGACGGUCAAACGUUGAACACGGAUUUUCACGGCUGCACUUAUU
rnacentral:pre_miRNA from 1 species